UACGGGGGGGGCAAGCGUUGUUCGGAAUUACUGGGCGUAAAGGGCUCGUAGGCGGCCAACUAAGUCAUACGUGAAAUCCCUCGGCUUAACCGGGGAACUGCGUCUGAUACUGGAUGGCUUGAGUUCGGGAGAGGGAUGCGGAAUUCCAGGUGUAGCGGUGAAAUGCGUAGAUAUCUGGAGGAACACCGGUGGCGAAGGCGGCAUCCUGGACCGAUACUGACGCUGAGGAGCGAAAGCCAGGGGGAGCGAACAGG
rnacentral:rRNA from 1 species